CAGCCGCCGCGGUAAAACGUAGGGUGCGAGCGUUGAUCGGAAUUACUGGGCGUAAAGCGUGCGCAGGCGGUUCGUUAAGACAGAUGUGAAAUCCCCGGGCUUAACCUGGGAACUGCAUUUGUGACUGGCGAGCUAGAGUAUGGCAGAGGGGGGUAGAAUUCCACGUGUAGCAGUGAAAUGCGUAGAGAUGUGGAGGAAUACCGAUGGUGAAGGCAGCCCCCUGGGCCAAUACUGACGCUCAUGCACGAAAGCGUGGGGAGCAAACAGGAUUAGAUACCCCCGUAGUCCCUGUCUCUUAUAC
rnacentral:rRNA from 1 species